CUUGUCCGAUUCAUGGUCCAUGGGCUGUGUGCAGCCGAGGACAGCUUUGAAUGUGGCCCAAAACAAAUUCCUAAAUUUCUUAAAAUCUGACAUUUUUUGGUAACUUUUUAAGAGCUCAUCAGCUAUCAUUAAUGGUUAGUGUUAGCGUAUUGUAUGUGUGGCCCAAGACAAUUCUUACAGUGUGUGGCACAGGGAAGCCAAAAGAUUGGAAAUGAUUUAUGGUGUAAAACAUGAUGUUUUGAUAUAUGUAUACAUUGUGGGAUGAUUAAAUCAAACCAUUUAACAUAGGGAUUACCUCACAUACUUAUUUUUUGUGGUAAGGACAAAAAUUUUACUCUUUUAACAAUGUUCCAGCAUGCCACAUAUUGCUAUUAACUAUAGUCAUUAUGAACUACAAUACAUCUCUUGAACUUAUUCCUCAUGUCUAAGUAAUAUUUUGUGUCCUUUGACCAACAUUUCCCAAGCCUCUCCACCCUCCAGACUUUCAAUACCAUCAUUUUAUUCUUUGUUUCUAUGAGUUCAAUUUUUUUUACAUUCCACAUGUAUGUAAACAGUAUUUGCCUUUCUGUGCCUGGCUUAGUUCACUUACCAUAAUCUCUUUCAGUUUCAUCCAAGUUAUCACAAGUAACAGGAUUUGAUUCUGUUUGUGACUGAAUAACAUUCCAUUGUGUGUAUAUAUACUACAUUUGUUUUUAUUCAUUUAUCUGUUGACAGACACAGACUGACUCCAUAUCUUGGCUGUUGUAAAGAAUGCUGCAAUGAACAUGUUGAUGAAGAUCCUGACAUUGAUGGCAGGGACAUGGAUGAAUCUGGAAACCAUCAUUCUCAGUAAACCGACACAGGAACAGAAAACCAAACACUGCAUAUUUUCACUUAUAGGCAGGUGACGGACAAUGAGAACACAUGGACAUAGGGAGGGGAACAUCACAC
rnacentral:lncRNA from 1 species